AUCUUUGUCUUCCCCUCAAAGUCUGGUGGCAAAAUGCUCAACUUAUUAAGUGAAGCUGAUAGGUCUGAAAGCAAUGGGUGCACCUGAUCCACUGCCACCAUAUUCAGUUUUAGGGAAUCCAUAGCUGUAAUAAAGUUCUGGACACACUCAGCCACAAUGGCAGCUGAGGUAGUUGCUGAGGCAGCUGCAGCAGCUGUGGCAGGCACCCCAGAGGUCACCAAACGGUUUAUGGCAGCAGGACAAUCCAUCUUGUAAGUGUCUACAAAGCGCUCAAUGCUAGGAACUAUACCUUUCAGGGUAGAAGCUAGUGUUUUGAAAUGGGCAAUAAGUUUCUGGCAUUCGGUUUCAUACUCAGAUGAGGGGAUGAUAUCACGAAUAUAGGCCUUUUCAAGCUUCUCUGUGGCUUUUAUUAUGGCAUAGAGCUCAGCAAAGUUCUC
rnacentral:misc_RNA from 1 species